rnacentral:rRNA from 1 species
UCCCAGACUCCUACGGGAGGCAGCAGCGGGGAAUAUUGCACAAUGGGGGGAACCCUGAUGCAGCGACGCCGCGUGGGUGAAGGAGCACCUCGGUGCGUAAAGCCCUAUCGGCAGGGAAGAAAAUGACGGUACCUGAAGAAGAAGCCCCGGCUAACUACGUGCCAGCAGCCGCGGUAAUACGUAGGGGGCAAGCGUUAUCCGGAUUUACUGGGUGGAAAGGGGGCGCAGACGGCGAUGCAAGCCAGGAGUGAAAGCCCGGGGCCCAACCCCGGGACUGCUCUUGGAACUGCGUGGCUGGAGUGCAGGAGGGGCAGGCGGAAUUCCUGGUGUAGCGGUGAAAUGCGUAGAUAUCAGGAGGAACACCGGUGGCGAAGGCGGCCUGCUGGACUGCAACUGACGUUGAGGCCCGAAAGCGUGGGGAGCAAACAGGAUUAGAUACCCUCGUAAA